GUCUUAUUGAAAAAUAAUUUUAAGUCAAUCUGCCCAAUGAAAAAUUUUAAUGGCUGCAGUAUACCUGACUGUACAAAGGUAGCAUAAUCAAUUGGUUUUUAAAUGAAAUCUGGUAUGAAAGGAUUAAUGAAAUAUAUACUGUCUCAUAUUUAUUUAUUGAAUUUAAAAUUUUAAUAAAAAUGUUAAAAUUUAUUUAUGGGACGAUAAGACCCUAUAGAAUUUUAUAUUAAAUUAUAUUUAUUUAAGUAAAUUUUAAUUUAAUAUUUAGUUGGGAGAAUUAUUAAAUUUAAAAAAUUUUAAUUUAUAAAAACUUAAAUUAAAGAAAAAUUGUUGAUUUUAAAUUUUAAAUUAUUAGAAUAAAUUACCUUAGGGAUAACAGCGUAAUAUUUUUUUAUAGAUCAUAUAGAAAAAAAUGAUUGCGACCUCGAUGUUGAAUUAAGAUAAAUUUUAAAUGCAGAAGUUUAAUAAUUAAGUCUGUUCGACUUUUAAAAUCUUACAUGAUUUGAGUUCAAAUCGACGUAAGU
rnacentral:rRNA from 1 species